UAAUACAUGCAAGUAGAACGCUGAAGAGAGCAUCUUGCUCUUCUUGGAUGAGUUGCGAACGGGUGAGUAACGCGUAGGUAACCUGCCUUGUAGCGGGGGAUAACUAUUGGAAACGAUAGCUAAUACCGCAUAACAAUAGGUGACACAUGUCAUUUAUUUGAAAGGGGCAAUUGCUCCACUACAAGAUGGACCUGCGUUGUAUUAGCUAGUAGGUGAGGUAACGGCUCACCUAGGCGACGAUACAUAGCCGACCUGAGAGGGUGAUCGGCCACACUGGGACUGAGACACGGCCCAGACUCCUACGGGAGGCAGCAGUAGGGAAUCUUCGGCAAUGGGGGCAACCCUGACCGAGCAACGCCACGUGAGUGAAGAAGGUUUUCGGAUCGUAAAGCUCUGUUGUAAGUCAAGAACGAGUGUGAGAGUGGAAAGUUCACACUGUGACGGUAGCUUACCAGAAAGGGACGGCUAACUACGUGCCAGCAGCCGCGGUAAUACGUAGGUCCCGAGCGUUGUCCGGAUUUAUUGGGCGUAAAGCGAGCGCAGGCGGUUUGAUAAGUCUGAAGUUAAAGGCUGUGGCUCAACCAUAGUUCGCUUUGGAAACUGUCAAACUUGAGUGCAGAAGGGGAGAGUGGAAUUCCAUGUGUAGCGGUGAAAUGCGUAGAUAUAUGGAGGAACACCGGUGGCGAAAGCGGCUCUCUGGUCUGUAACUGACGCUGAGGCUCGAAAGCGUGGGGAGCGAACAGGAUUAGAUACCCUGGUAGUCCACGCCGUAAACGAUGAGUGCUAGGUGUUGGAUCCUUUCCGGGAUUCAGUGCCGCAGCUAACGCAUUAAGCACUCCGCCUGGGGAGUACGACCGCAAGGUUGAAACUCAAAGGAAUUGACGGGGGCCCGCACAAGCGGUGGAGCAUGUGGUUUAAUUCGAAGCAACGCGAAGAACCUUACCAGGUCUUGACAUCCCGAUGCUAUUUCUAGAGAUAGAAAGUUACUUCGGUACAUCGGUGACAGGUGGUGCAUGGUUGUCGUCAGCUCGUGUCGUGAGAUGUUGGGUUAAGUCCCGCAACGAGCGCAACCCCUAUUGUUAGUUGCCAUCAUUCAGUUGGGCACUCUAGCGAGACUGCCGGUAAUAAACCGGAGGAAGGUGGGGAUGACGUCAAAUCAUCAUGCCCCUUAUGACCUGGGCUACACACGUGCUACAAUGGUUGGUACAACGAGUUGCGAGUCGGUGACGGCAAGCUAAUCUCUUAAAGCCAAUCUCAGUUCGGAUUGUAGGCUGCAACUCGCCUACAUGAAGUCGGAAUCGCUAGUAAUCGCGGAUCAGCACGCCGCGGUGAAUACGUUCCCGGGCCUUGUACACACCGCCCGUCACACCACGAGAGUUUGUAACACCCGAAGUCGGUGAGGUAACCUUUUGGAGCCAGCCGCCUAAGGUGGGAUAGAUGAUUGGGGUGAA
rnacentral:rRNA from 1 species